rnacentral:rRNA from 1 species
CUGCAUUAAAACUUUUCAGCUAGAGUAUGAUAGAGGAAAGCAGAAUUUCUAGUGUAGAGGUGAAGUUCGUAGAUAUUAGAGAGAAUACCAAUUGCGAAGGCAGCUUUCUGGAUCAUUACUGACACUGAGGAACGAAAGCAUGGGUAGCGAAGAGGAUUAGAUACCCUCGUAGUCCAUGCCGUAAACGAUGUGUGUUAGACGUUGGAAAUUUAUUUUCAGUGUCGCAGGGAAACCGAUAAACACACCGCCUGGGGAGUACGACCGCAAGGUUAAAACUCAAAUGAAUUGACGGGGACCCGCACAAGUAGUGGAGCAUGUGGUUUAAUUCGAAGAUACGCGCAGAACCUUACCAACACUUGACAUGUUCGUCGCGACUCUAAGAGAUUAGAGUUUUCGGUUUGGCCGGACGAAACACAGGUGCUGCAUGGCUGUCGUCAGCUCGUGUCGUGAGAUGUUGGGUUAAGUCCCGCAACGAGCGCAACCCUCACUUUUAGUUGCCAUCAUUAAGUUGGGCACUCUGAAAGAACUGCCAGUGAUAAGCUGGAGGAAGGUGGGGAUGACGUCAAGUCCUCAUGGCCCUUACGUGUUGGGCUACACACGUGCUACAAUGGUAUCUACAACAGGAAGCAAGACUGCGAAGUUAAGCAAAUCCCUAAAAGAUACCUCAGUUCGGAUUGCACUCUGCAACUCGAGUGCAUGAAGCUGGAAUUACUAGUAAUCGUGGAUCAGCGUGCCACGGUGAAUGCGUUCCCGGGUCUUGUACACACCGCCCGUCACACCAUGGGAGUUGGUUCUACCUUAAGGCAAGGUUUUAAACCCUUGACCACGGUAUAGUCAGCGACUGGGGUG